rnacentral:RNase_P_RNA from 1 species
CAUGAGGAAAGUCCGGGCUCCGCAGGGCAAGGAUAACGGGUAACGCCCGCCGAAGGCGACUUCAGGAAAAGUGCAACAGAAAUAAACCGCUGCCGCCGGGUACGCAAGCGUACUCAGCGGCAGUAAGGGUGGAAAGGCGAGGUAAGAGCUCACCCAUCGGCUGGAGACUGUCCGAUGCUGUAAACUCUAUCCGGAGCAACACCGUGGGAGGACACAAGAUCAUGGUGCGGCCGCGAUGAGCGUCCGUGCGUGAUGGAAUCGCGUACGCGCGGUUCCCGGCUGGCCCGGCCGUCCUCAAGGAGGUGGCUGGAGCGGUCUGGCAACAGGCCGCCUAGAUAGAUGACUGUCAAAUACAGAACCCGGCUUACAGUUUUGCUCACGCA